UACGUAGGGGGCAAGCGUUGUCCGGAAUCAUUGGGCGUAAAGAGCGUGUAGGCGGCUUGGUAAGUCCGCUGUGAAAGUCCAGGGCUCAACCCUGGAAAGCCGGUGGAAACUGUCAAGCUUGAGUCCGGAAGAGGCGAGUGGAAUUCCUGGUGUAGCGGUGAAAUGCGCAGAUAUCGGGAGGAACACCUGUGGCGAAAGCGGCGCACUGGACCAUAACUGACGCUGAGGCGCGAAAGCUAGGGGAGCAAACAGG
rnacentral:rRNA from 1 species